rnacentral:rRNA from 1 species
UACGUAGGGAGCAAGCGUUGUUCGGAUUUACUGGGCGUAAAGGGUGCGUAGGCGGUUGUUUAAGUCUGUCGUGAAAUCCCCGGGCUCAACCUGGGAAUGGCGAUGGAUACUGGGCAGCUAGAGUGUGUCAGAGGAUGGUGGAAUUCCCGGUGUAGCGGUGAAAUGCGUAGAGAUCGGGAAGAACAUCGGUGGCGAAGGCGCUCUACUGGACCACAACUGACACUCAGGGACGAAAGCUAGGGGAGCGAAUGGG